AAUAGAUACCCGGGUAGUCCACCCCGUAAACGUUGGGAACUAGUUGUGGGGUCCUUUCCACGGAUUCCGUGACGCAGCUAACGCAUUAAGUUCCCCGCCUGGGGAGUACGGCCGCAAGGCUAAAACUCAAAAGGAAUUGACGGGGACCCGCACAAGCGGCGGAGCAUGCGGAUUAAUUCGAUGCAACGCGAAGAACCUUACCAAGGCUUGACAUACACCGGAAACGGCCAGAGAUGGUCGCCCCGCAAGGUCGGUGUACAGGUGGUGCAUGGUUGUCGUCAGCUCGUGUCGUGAGAUGUUGGGUUAAGUCCCGCAACGAGCGCAACCCUCGUUCUAUGUUGCCAGCACGUAAUGGUGGGAACUCAUGGGAUACUGCCGGGGUCAACUCGGAGGAAGGUGGGGAUGACGUCAAAUCAUCAUGCCCCUUAUGUCUUGGGCUUCACGCAUGCUACAAUGGCCGGUACAAAGGGCUGCAAUACCGUGAGGUGGAGCGAAUCCCAAAAGCCGGUCCCAGUUCGGAUUGAGGUCUGCAACUCGACCUCAUGAAGUCGGU
rnacentral:rRNA from 1 species